ensembl:lncRNA
CAUACAUUAAGCUCUGCCAUGUGCUAGUACACUCUCUGGAGAGACUGGUGAGCAACACAGAUACAGUGGCUGACCGCAUGGAACUUAAGAUCUGUUCAUGCGGCUGCCAUAACAAAUCAGCAUGAACUUGGUAGCUUAAAACAACAGAAACUUACUCUCUCACAGCUCUGGAGGUCUUAAGUUCAAAGUCAAGGUGUCAGUGGGCUGCGCUCCCUCCAUCACUCUAGGGGAGCAUCCUUUCUUGCCUCUUCCAGCUUCUGGUGGCUCCAGAUGUUCCUUGGCUUAUGGCUGCAUCACUCCAGUCUCUGUCUCUGACUUCCCAUGACUAUCUCCUCUUUUCCCUGUGUGUCUUUCCUCUGGGUGUCUCUUAUAAAGGACAUUUAUCACAGGGUUUAGGGCCCAUGGGGAUAAUCCAGGAUGAUCUCAAGUUCCUUAAUUAUACCUGCAAAGACUCUUCUUCCAAAUAAGGUCACAUUGACAGGUUUCCAAGGUUAGGACAUGGACAUAUCUCUUCGGGGGCCACCAUUUAACUCACUGCAGUUGGUGAACAGGUUAAGAGUGUGGAGCAUGUUACAAAGGGGGCUCAUAGGGUGCUCAAGAAAAGGGUGCAACAACCUCUUCUUUGGGGGAAGGCUUGUCAGAGGAAGUGACAUUGUUUGAAAUCAGAAGGAAGAACAUUACAGAGCGGUGGAUCAUUACAAAGGAAGGAAGACGGAGCUCUAUGAGAUGGGGCACCUCCCAGGGAAGGAAGGGGAGGCAAGCUGGGCUGGGACAGAGAGGGUCUGUGUGUGGGAAGGGGCGAAGUGGGCUGGAGAGACAGGUGGGUUCUGAUCACAGGGCCCCAUACCACCUUGUGGUUUUAUAUGGAGUAAAAUGAUCUGAUUUGCAUUUUUAAAAGAUUUCCCUGGCUCCUCCUUUUUCCUCCCCAGCCUCCAACGGCCUAAUUUUCUGAUGAUCGCCAACAAUAUUGUCAGUGGGAAAUCCCUGACAAUCCCAGGAGGCUCAGGUGAGGGCAGGUGCAGGUUGGAACGCAUCAAACGCCCCCUUAUUAGCAUCUAAUUUGCACUCUCUCCCACCCCUGUUCCCCAUCUGCCUUAAUUUUGGUUUUGCAAAUUGUAAAGCAGUAAAAUAUUACCUCAAGGCCUAAGAUACCAAAGGCAAUUUAAUAAUGUGAAAAAAUAAGAGGUGUUUUUUGCUGUUCUGACAUUUAUUCUUCCUGGACUCGUUAUUUUUCCUAAUGAACGUUUCUUUUUCUCUUUCUGUUUUUUCUCUUUCUCUUUCUGCUUAUCCGUCUUAACACAUGCCAUUUACCACCUCUGACCUGCUGAUUAGGGGGCUGGGCACCGGCAUACCUCUCUGUCAGGGAAGGAGAGGAAAAAUUGCGAAGUAAAUGGCGAGAUGCUGCAGGAUAGCGAGCAGGAAACUCUGCCGUGUUUAACAGAAUGCGGGACCCAAAUGAAAUGCGAGGCCCCCAGCGAGGUGCGGCUGAGCCCCGGGCAGGUGCGGGCGCCACGUGACUGAUUAUUCAAAUUGGCCGAUGAUUAACUCGGUUUAUAUUGAUGCAAAUAAUCUUGCUGGAGCCGGCCACGGCUAAUGCAUUUUGGAACUGUGGUUUUCCAUCGAUAGCACAAAAUAGUGUAGAGGAAAGCUAUUUUCAUAAUAUUAAUAAUGGAAUUACAGAAUCAGGUCACUUAAAGGAACGGCGCUGACUCAGCCACAGCAGCGUUGACUUGAAUGUGGAGAUUAAUACUGAGCAAAACGAAGCACAAACCUUCUGCAGCUAUCUCAUGGCAUAAAACACGUCCCUUCACGUUUGUUUUUUUAAAGAGAAAGAGCUUUAAAAAAUGACUUAAGCCAGUACCAUUCUCAGAUGAAUUUAUUGCAAAGGAAAGAACUCAGAUGAAUUUAUUGCUUGCGCAGAGAGCCCCCACUAAGGUGUUUUUCCUUUUUUCUUUGAUUAAAUAUUGGGUUUACCUUCCUUGCCCAUGCCCUGGUUUAACGUCCAAGUCUAGAACAAUGUUUGUAACUGCUUUCUGGAGGGCUGGCUGAAGUGGCAAACUAAGAUCAAUAAAUGCCCUCUAAGGGAAGGAAUGUAUUUGCCAAUGAAGACGUAGCAGGGUUGAGGAGAAAUUCUGUGGAGAUCUCUGGGGAUCUUCCACUGGGCAGACUGAGCCAAGAUACAAUCACCAACCACCCUGAACCAGAUCAGGCCAGGAGCAGCCAGAGCAGCGCCUGUGCAGAUGAGCAGAGAGAUGACCUGAAGUCGCCCUUUACUUCAUUUUAGUCCUAAGAUCUCUGCUUCAGGAGGAGCUUAGUUCUUAUUACCAUAACAUGCGAUGUAUACGGAAGCACGUUUUCCAACUGAGCCUGCGCAAUUGAAUGCCCACCUCUCCCUUUUGAAUAUUCAUUCCCCAUCUGAAAUAAAAGGCCCCUGCUGCCCGGUGUUCUGUGGAGGCGGGUGGGGGGGGGCAGCUGUGCGUUUGGAGAAGAUUCCACGUGGUCUCCUAUUUGCCGCAAAUAAAUUUUACUUUGUGUGACAACUACCUCUGGAGAAGGCUCUGAUUUCAACUCACCAGGAACUGGACCCAAUUUGCUUUGGUAACACAACCAGAACCUUAAGGCAAAUUAGGAUACUUU